rnacentral:rRNA from 1 species
UACAGAGGUCCCAAGCGUUGUUCGGAUUCACUGGGCGUAAAGGGUGCGUAGGCGGUCGGGUAAGUCUGAUGUGAAAUCUCACAGCUUAACUGUGAAACUGCAUUGGAUACUAUCCGUCUCGAGGAAUGGAGGGGAGACUGGAAUACUUGGUGUAGCAGUGAAAUGCGUAGAUAUCAAGUGGAACACCAGUGGCGAAGGCGAGUCUCUGGACAUUUCCUGACGCUGAGGCACGAAAGCCAGGGGAGCAAACGGG